CCUCCUUAUACGAUUUAGAAUUUAUUUGUUCGUAGUGUCCACACAGAUGAUUGUUAAUUAGUUAAGCCACUGGCCUAGUUAAUUAAUAUGCUCUUUAAAAAUUUGGAAAAGCUGAUAAUAAAAUUCGUAUGAAUAACAUUGUUAUUUGUACAGAGUUUUCAAAAGUAAAAAAGAAUGAUAGCAGUAUCAUUCAGUGCCAUUUAAUCACUCUUAUGAGUCGAUUGAUUGGUAUCUACUUUAGUAUUCGAUAUUAACUUCUGGCGAAGUUAAACUGUCACAAAACAAAGGCCCGUUUGGGUUGUAUGGUUAAGUGACUAAGCGUACACGGUGGAUGC
rnacentral:misc_RNA from 1 species